rnacentral:rRNA from 1 species
CCUACGGGUGGCAGCAGUGGGGGAUAUUGCACAAUGGGGGAAACCCUGAUGCAGCGACGCCGCGUGUGGGAAGACGGUCCUCUGGAUUGUAAACCACUGUCCCCAGGGACGAAGAUGACGGUACCGGGGGAGGAAGCUCCGGCUAACUACGUGCCAGCAGCCGCGGUAAUACGUAGGGAGCGAGCGUUGUCCGGAAUUACUGGGUGUAAGGGGAGCGUAGGCGGGGAUGCAAGUUGGGUGUCAAAACUACGGGCUCAACUGGUAGUCGCAUUCAAAACUACAGCUCGUGAGUGCAGUAGAGGCAGGCGGAAUUCCUAGUGUAGCGGUGAAAGGCGUAGAUAUUAGGAGGAACACCAGUGGCGAAGGCGGCCUGCUGGGCUUUUACUGACGCUGAGGCUCGAAAGUGUGGGGAGCAAACAGGAUUAGAUACCCCUGUAGUC